rnacentral:lncRNA from 1 species
AUAACACUGUUUGAGCAAAAAGGUUUAAGUUUAGGCCAGGCUCAGCAAUGGAGCUAGACCCUAUUUCAAAAUGAAAAAGGAAAAGUCCAUGGAUAUAGCUCAGUGGUAAAGUGCCCCUGGAUUGAAGCCCAGUACCAAAAAAUAAAAAUAAAAACAUAAAAAACGUUGACCUGUAUGGCAUUUGCCCUUCUAAGGAAACAUAAUUAGUCCCUUCCAACAUUACACAGCCCAGAAGAAAUCAGACUGCACUGGUUUAAAAAAUGCAGACUCAGCAUAUCACAGGACUAGAAGCUAAGGGGUCGCUGGGGACUAUCAGGAGGGUGGGGAGGCAGUGAUCAUAG